GUCCUACGGGAGGCAGCAGUAGGGAAUUUUCGUCAAUGGGCGCAAGCCUGAACGAGCAAUGCCGCGUGAACGAGGAAGGUCUUCGGAUCGUAAAGUUCUGUUGAAGGGGAAAAAGAGCGGAGAGAGGAAAUGAACCCCGAUUGAUAUUAUCCUUCGAGGAAGUCACGGCUAACUACGUGCCAGCAGCCGCGGUAAUACGUAGGUGGCGAGCGUUAUCCGGAAUGAUUGGGCGUAAAGGGUGCGCAGGCGGUCCUGCAAGUCUGGAGUGAAACCCAUGGGCUUAAC
rnacentral:rRNA from 1 species